GACGAACGCUGGCGGCGUGCUUAACACAUGCAAGUCGAACGGAAAGGCCCUGCUUUUGUGGGGUGCUCGAGUGGCGAACGGGUGAGUAACAUGUGAGUAACCUGCCCUUGACUUUGGGAUAACUUCAGGAAACUGGGGCUAAUACCGGAUAGGAGCUCCUGCUGGAUGGUGGGGGUAGGAAAGUUUCGGCGGUUGGGGAGGGGCUCGCGGCUUAUCAGCUUGUUGGUGGGGUAGUGGCUUACCAAGGCUUUGACGGGUAGCCGGCCUGGGGGGGUGACCGGCCACAUUGGGACUGAGAUACGGCCCAGCCUCCUACGGGAGGCAGCAGUGGGGAAUAUUGCACAAUGGGCGGAAGCCGGAUGCAGCAACGCCGCGUGCGGGAUGACGGCCUUCGGUUUGUAAACCGCUUUCGCCUGUGACGAAGCGUUAGUGACGGUAAUUGGUAAAGAAGCACCGGCUAACUACGUG
rnacentral:rRNA from 1 species